CUCCAGCCUGGGCAAUACAGAGAGAUCCCGUGUCAAAAAAGCAAAAACAAAACAAAACAAAAAGCAUGUAGCUCUGGCCGGGCUAGGCUUCUUCCCAUCCUCAGUCUUCAGCUUCUAGGAAGGAGGGCACAGGCCAGGUUCCGGAUGUCCUAGGGACAGUGGCUACCAGGCAACUUGGGCAAGUCCAUGGGGCAGGACAAAGAUAGCAGCCCAGACCCUAGUUUGGUCCCAUUCACUCAUUCAUUCAUUCAUUCAUUCACUCAACACUUAUGUAUUGAGUGCUGCUUCUGCCCCAUCCCCGAACAUCUCCCCAGAGGGGGAGGUACAGCAACACCUGUGUGACCCAAUGGCAUUCAUGGUCUAAAAAUGGACUCAUUCCCAGCCCAGGUGGCUCUGAUUGGAGCCAGGAGAGAGAGAGAAUUACCUGUUCACAGUCGUGGCUGACAUUGAAUGAUCAUCGCUACAAUCUACCAAGGGUGGUGCUGGGCAUGGUAUGGGAGAGUGUGAUGGGCUUUAGAACUGCAAACUCUGAUGAGGGUCCCAGCUCCACUGGAGCUAAUUAUUUAGCUUCUCUCACUUUCAGUUUGCUCAUCUGUGACGUGAAAGUGGAGUUGUGCUAUGUGGCUCUGGAACUUGGUAGACUAAGCACACAGCACAUGGCCUGGUAUACUCACUCACUCAUUCAUUCAAUGAUGAAGGCCUGUGGAGGCAGAGUCCGUUUCAGGCUCCAGGACACAGUAAGCAAGGGAUGCACAGCCCAGCCCCUGUGAGCUCGUCUAUGAGUUGGCGCAUACAUAAGCAUUCAGGCGAAGCAAUUGCGUGAGGUUAGUGUUAUGAAAGGCAGUGAGCUGGGGCUUCAGGGGCCUAUGGAAAAGGCCCUGGGCAAGGAGCCCAGCUCUCCACCUGGUAUGUGCCAUGUCCUUGGGCAAAUCACAACCUCCUCACUAGGCCUCAGUUUCUCUAAAGUUUGAUAAGGAUGUUCUGGCCUCCAAGGGUUCUCUUAACCUGGAUGUUCUAUGAUUCUGUAUCCUCUGGGCCUGAGGUGAGCUCCUGUGUGGGAUGGCGUGGCGUGGGCAACCAGUGAGGACAGGGCUGGUGAGGGCCUCUGCUAGGCUUGAACUCCCUCCCAGGCUCCCAGACUGAGAAGUGCUGAGGCCAGACUUGAGCUUGCAAUCCAGACAAUGUUUUCAUCUCUUCACCCGAGACAGCUCCAGUGGGCCAAUGAGCUGGCCAGGCUUAAAGCCAAGUGUAAGCCUGCGGAAGGAGGGAAAGCGGGCCUGCCUCUGGGAGACGGAGCAAGCCUCCUGUUAGGCUCUGCCAGGAGCCAGGACGCCUGGCUUCAAAUUCAUCCAUCACUGAGGCUCAGUCACCUCGUAUGUGAAAUGGAAGGAAGCUGGUCUUGCCUACCUCCCAGGGUGUUAGUGAAGAGCAGAGGCAACCCCUGGCAGGGGCACAGGGAAACAGGACGUGGCCGCACUUCAGAGGUGCAUCCCCUGUGUGCCAGGCUUUGGCCAUUGCUUCGUGUGCAUCACCUGACCCCGCCCUCAUAACCAGCCUGGGAGAACACUAUCAUCUCCAUUUGACAGACCAGCAAACCACCUUGUGGCCCGCAGUUGCACAGCUUGUGAGGACCUGCACAGUCAUUUAGGUGAACAUCUGUCUAAGCUGAAGCCUGGAUUCUUUCCACUAUGUAUUUGGCUCUGAAUGAAUGAGAGGUGGUGGUGUCCCCAUUUUACAGAUAAGAAAACUGAGGCUCAGAACAUCACACAUCUAAUAAGACUGCCAUCUAACACCACCAGAAAGACCAGCUGUUUGUGGUGUUUCAAUGGCAGGCAGGGGAGGGCCAGGUCUCAGCAACUGGGAUUCAUUAUUCCUAGAAAGUUCUAAACAGCUUGGUGUCUAAUUCCUAUUGGCACUCAAAUAAAGCAAAAAGCUCACCUAGGUUCAAGUGAUGUGUAUACCCUAAGACUUUUCUUAGUGGUCCUGGUUUUGGCCAUAAGGAAGCCCCUGGUUCAUGGCUGUCAGUGACAGUGCCACAGUUGACCCUGUUUUGAUUCACAUGGCAAAGCCAAGGUGGUAGGAAUACGUAUUUGGGAGCCAAGACCUGGAGUCACAUCAGGUGUAGAGUCAGAAUGUCCACCAUGUGUUAGCGGCAAAGACCAUCAACGGAGACACUGGCUCUGCUGAUUGUAGCUGGGGAACUUUCACGCC